GCCUACGGCCAUGCCACCCUGAACAAGCCCAAUGUCUGAUCUCGGAAGCUAAGCAGGGUCGGGCCUGGUUAGUACGUGGAUGGGAGACCACCUAGGAAGAUGGGGUGCUGUAGGCA
rnacentral:rRNA from 1 species